UAGGGAAUAUUAGAAAUGGACGAAAGUCUGAUCUAGCAACACCGCGUGUGCGAUGAAGGCCUUCGGGUCGUAAAGCACUUUUUGGAAGGAAUAGGAAGGAAUGUACUUCCAGAAUAAGUCUCGGCUAACUACGUGCCAGCAGCCGCGGUAACACGUAGGAGGUAAACGUUAUCCGGAUUUACUGGGCGUAAAGCGCGUGUAGGUGGUACUGUAAGUAGGGCGUGAAAGCUCCUGGCUCAACUGGGAGAGGCCGUUCUAAACUACAGAACUAGAGGAUGGUAGAGGGAGGUGGAAUUCCAGGUGUAGCGGUGGAAUGCGCAGAUAUCUGGAGGAACACCGGUGGCGAAGGCGGCCUCCUGGACCAUUCCUGACACUCAGACGCGAAAGCUAGGGUAGCAAACG
rnacentral:rRNA from 1 species